rnacentral:rRNA from 1 species
GACGGGGACCCGCACAAGCGGUGGAGCAUGUGGUUUAAUUCGAAGCAACGCGAAGAACCUUACCAGGCCUUGACAUCCCAAGGAAAGCCCCUUAACCGGGGACCCUCUUCGGAGUCUUGGAGACAGGUGGUGCAUGGUUGUCGUCAGCUCGUGUCGUGAGAUGUUGGGUCAAGUCCCGCAACGAGCGCAACCCUUGUCCGUAGUAGCCAGCAGUAAGAUGGGAACUCUACGGAGACUGCCGGGGAUAACCCGGAGGAAGGUGGGGAUGACGUCAAAUCAUCAUGCCCCUUACGGUCUGGGCGACACACGUGCUACAAUGGCGUAACAAAGGGAAGCGAGCCCGCGAGGGGGAGCAAACCCCAAAAAUAGCGUCCCAGUUCGGACUGUAGUCUGCAACCCGACUACACGAAGCCGGAAUCGCUAGUAAUCGCGGAUCAGAAUGCCGCGGUGAAUACGUUCCCGGGUCUUGUACACACCGCCCGUCACACCAUGGGAGUUGGUAAUGCCCGAAGCCGGUGGCCUAACGAAAGAGGGAGCCGUCGAAGGCAGGACCGAUGACUGGGGUGAAGUCGUAACAAGGUAG